CACGUAGUUAGCCGGAGCUUCCUCUUUGGCUACCGUCAUUAUUCGUCACCAAAAACAAAGGUUUACAAUCCGAAGACCUUCUUCCCUCACGCGGCGUUGCUGCAUCAGGGUUUCCCCCAUUGUGCAAUAUCCCCCACUGCUGCCUCCCGUAGGAGUCUGGGCCGUGUCUCAGUCCCAAUGUGGCCGUUCAACCUCUCAGUCCGGCUACCGAUCGUCGACUAGGUGGGCCGUUACCCCCCUACUAUCUAAUCGGACGCGAGCCCAUCUUACAGCGGAUUGCUCCUUUGAUUAUCCAAACCAUGCGGUUAGACAAUGUUAUGCGGUAUUAGCAUCGGUUUCCCAAUGUUGUCCCCCUCUGUAAGGCAGGUUGCUCACGCGUUACUCACCCGUCCGCCACUAACUUUACCAGAGCAAGCUCCAGUAAAAUCCGUUCGACUUGCAUGUGUUAGGCACGCCGCCAGCGUUCGUCCUGAGCCAGGAUCAAACUCU
rnacentral:rRNA from 1 species